AAAAGUUAGUUAAAAAUUUUAUAACAUUGAAUUGUCAAUUCAAAAUUAUUAUUUACUUUUUUA
rnacentral:tRNA from 1 species